AGAUUUAUAAGAUUCAAGUUAAUGAGAAAAAUAGAACAGAUAUUUUAAAAUGUAUGUAGUUGAAACUUUGUCUCAGAAUCAUAUGGUAAUUUUAACACCUUAGAAUCUACAUAUAUUUUCCCGAAUGUAUAUUAACAGACCACCUCCACGACUCCUACCACUAGUCAAGUGUGAUCGAUCACACCGGAAUAAAUGAAAAGAAUUAACUGACAAUUCUGGAUCACUGUUAUCACCUGACAGCCAAUUUAAAAAAAAAAAAACCAAAAUAUCAUAGUGUAAACAUGAAACAACCUUAAAAAGGUCAUUAAUUUUAGUUCUUAGACAAUGGGGUUACUUCACGUUUUUUUGCUUAGCCCCUAGAGCUGUUAUUGGGGACCCCCUGAUGUGUAAUAUAUGGCAUAUUAUUCCUAUAUUAUUUCUAUAUUUUGACGUAAUUUCCAAUUUACGUCAUCAAUCAGGUUAUAACUGACAUUUUAAUGAAUGUGCUAAACACAUAUUGUUGUUGUUUAACACAUUCAAUUACAGCGAAUUUUUCCUUCGAUCAACCUUGCACAAAUUCAUUUAAUUUGAAUUUUAUUAUCGUCAGACUGGUCAUAAUGCAUCGUAUCUCGCGACGCUGCCGUUCACUGUUUGACAUUUAUAUUUUUAUUCUUUCGGUGAUUUUGAUCAUUAUUAACUGUUUUUCUAAAAACAAAACCUUUGUACAUUUAAUUUUUCGAAGCACACUUUUGAUUUUCUAUGAAAAUGCCGAAGCAUUUAAAUAGCCGAUGCAAAGAACUUGUAGCUUCCCUAAUCAGUUAUUUUGAACGAGAACGUGAAAAUAAUGGCCCAUUAUUACUCUUCGUUGCAGUUAGAGAAGUAAAAUUUUAAUCGUACGUAUAAAAGUUUGAAAUUUAAUUUAAUUUUUUGUAAUUUGUAGCGGGUGGCUGAUGCACUUUAUCUAAGGAUGUUCACUGUUAGUGCAAUUUCAAAGACCGUUAAAAGUAUUGAACUGUUGAAAUCACUUAAAAAGAAGAGUUAAAUCUUAUGCUAAGAGGGUUACAAACGUGGAAAAAAACUUUGGAUACGGAGGCGAUUCGUGAGACUAUUUAUGAAAUGUACGAAACUAAGCCAUACGUGACUUUAGCAAUUUUAUAUGUAAAAAUAAGGGAAAAGCAUCUAUUUGAAGGUUGUAAAAAUUCUUUACGAAGUUUGAUAAAGGAAAUAGGCUUUUGAUGUAAAAAAGACGAUUCAAGGAGGGGUCUUAUCGAACUUUCCCACAUGGUUUUUAAACUAAUUGUUUUUUUUGAAAGAAUAUAUGAGAAAGAAAGAAGAAUCAAUUUAUCAAUUUGUUUAUCUUGAUGAAACUUGGAUUUUCCAAAAUGGUACUGUAGGUCGCUCCUGACAGGAUAGUAACAAAAGAAGUGUGAUUUCCACAAAAGUGGAUGGCAAAAGAUACAUAAUAAUUCAUGCUGGUAAUGAACAUGGAUUAAUUGAGGGUGCUGAGGCUAUUUUUUCUUCAAAAACUCAAUUGAUUACCAUGGAGAAAUAAAUUAGCAAAAUUUCUUGAAUUGGUUCGAAAACCAAUUGUUAAAGAAUCUUAUACAGUAUUAUGCAUAAAUAUAUAGCAACAAGCGAUGUUUUCAAAAAUAUUAUUUGCUCCUUUAUUUAUUCCAUAUAAUUUCUUUACUUUUAGGUACACGCCUCUGUAUUAUUUAUAAAUAUACCGAGAUAUCAUAAGAAUGCCAAUGCAAAGUAAGGAACUUCAUGUUUGUUUAUUUCGACAAUGUGCAUAAAUAUAGCAACAUUGUUGUUUCGCAUUUAUUUUAUCAGUUAAAUAUCGAUUUACCUGCUGUAAAGUUGUUAUUUUUGAAUCUCAGAAUUAACUUAAAAUGGGUCGUCUCUGGUGAUGUAAGAAAAAUUAUUCCGGAGCAUUACGAAAAUAGUGUUAAGCAGAGUGACAUUGCAAGAAGCUUACGGCUUCACAGGUCAAUCGUAUCCAGAAUUUGCAAAAAAAUUCGCCUUACUGGAACAGCUGCACCGGCGCCCAUUCCUGGUAGACCCAGAAAAACAAAUUUGAGGAUGGAUAGACAGCUGCUACGAAUUUCCAAAGAAAAUCCUUUUUUGUCUUCUUCCCAAAUUUUGGCAAAAUUAAAAGAGGGUGGAGGAGUAAACCUCAAUUCCAGUACCGUAAGGAGAAGAUUACUUGAUGCCAACUUACCUGCUCGUCGCCCCGCCAAAAAACCGUUACUCUCAAAGAAGAACGUCAAGGCUCGUUUUCACUUUGCCCAAUCUCAUGUCCACUGGUCUGUAGCUGAUUGGAAGAAAGUCGUAUUUAGUGAUGAAUCUAAAUAUAAUUUAUUCAGGACUGAUAAGGUGAUGUACGUCAGACGCCCCAGAGUGAACAAAGAUUAAACAAAAAGUACAUUUGCCCCACAGUUAAACAUGGAGGGGGAAAUAUUCUUGUAUGGGGAUAUUUCUCGGCUCGUGGCAUGGGACCCAUAGUAAGAAUAGUGCGCAAAAUGGAUCGUUUCAUGUACAAAGACAUUUAGUGCCAUAUAUGGAUGAAGUCAUGCCAGUAACAGCCAUAUUUCAGCAUGACAACGAUCCAAAACAUGCUUCUCAAUUUGUUAAGAGGUGGCUAUCCGAUGAAAAAAUAAAUGUAAUGGUCUGGCCAUCUCAAUCGCCAGACCUAAACCCUAUAGAGAAUUUAUGGCAUUACAUUGACACCAAAAUCAGGCACCUAACAUGCUCUAAUACAAAUAUUCUUCUCUUUGAAAUAGUGGAAAAGGCUUGGAAAGAAGUGAACAAUGACUGUAUUAUGAAAUUAAUUGAGUCCAUGCCAAGACGAUGUGCAGAUGUUAUAAAGGAGAAGGGGUACUACACGAAAUAUUGAAUUGAUUUUAAUUUAGUUGGGUUAUAUUUUUUUUAGAAUCAAAAUUUUUUUUGUUACUAUAUUUUUGAAUAACAAAUUUGCAUAAAACAAUUUGGUGUUUUA
rnacentral:lncRNA from 1 species